GGUUCCUGGAUGAUAGUGAACAAAGCUCUGAUUAGUCCUGAGUGCCGGUUCCUUAAUAAGAGCUGCUAUCAAACCCUGUUAGUAAUUACUCACACACACCCACACACAUAUUCACACUCGGACACACACCCAAAAAUGUCAGAGUACUUGCGUAUCCUGAUCUUUUUCCGUUAGCUGAGGAGAAUUGUUGAAAAUGACCCAUUUUUGGGGACCAGCCCCUCCCUUGCGUAUAGUGACGUCAAUCGUCUGAGCUUGGAGGUGUGUGUGUGUGUCAGUCUGUACGUGUGUUUCACUCUGUGCUAUUCUAGAGUGUGAGGUACACUCCAUUCUGUGUUUCUGUCCGGUUACUAGAACUGUCUGAAGUGUAUUUAGUUGGUUGAUUGUACUCCACUGUGCGCCGAGGCUGACUGUCUCAGACUAGACAGUGUUGGGGUUAACUGACUGAGACGGUCUCCUCUCUGUCCCCAUGUAGAACCCGACCCAGGUGGGCACGUCCCUCCAGGUGUUCCGUAACCUGGGCAGUCUGAGGGAGACCAUCAGUGUUGGUGGUGGAGGGCUACCGGACCACCAUACAGGACAAACGUCACCACCGCCUUGGAUAUCAAGGGACUCACCCAGUCCGCUGACAACAGAGGUGCGCCCGGCAGAGCCCCAGGUAACACGACAGCGUUCCGAGCUGCUCUCUGGACCAACCUAGAGAAACUCAUGGACCAGAUCAGUGCCCGCUUGCGGACAGGUGCAACACCUCCAGAAGGUCUUGACGAAGAAGAGAGACCCUGUCACUCACGUCUGCUUCAUCAGUGAGAUCAUUAAGGUGAGACGCCAUGUCCUCGUAAAAGGCCUGUGUGUCCUUGCCCCUGGACUGUCAUCAGCACACCCUUCCACAACAUCUAUCCAUCUACUCUUGGCAAUAUCCUUCUCUUCUCUUUUGCCUUCCCCUGCCAACCUCUUUCCCAUCCCCUCCCUCUCCUAUUCCCUCCUCUCCAUACUGAUCGGUCCAUUACCUGGGCCUGUCCUGGACCAGACCUACCCAGGCUUUAUUGACUCUGCUGGCAUCAGCAGAAUGCUGGGCUGUUAAGCAGAACAGCAAGCAGGGACUUAAGUUCUCUAAUACAAGCUGAAAGAGAUUCAACUGUGCCA
rnacentral:lncRNA from 1 species